rnacentral:rRNA from 1 species
UUAGAGUUUGAUCCUGGCUCAGGACGAACGCUGGCGGCAUGCCUAAUACAUGCAAGUCGAGCGGACUUGAUGAGAAGCUUGCUUCUCUGAUGGUUAGCGGCGGACGGGUGAGUAACACGUAGGCAACCUGCCCUCAAGUUUGGGACAACUACCGGAAACGGUAGCUAAUACCGAAUAGUUGUUUUCUUCGCCUGAAGAGAACUGGAAAGACGGAGCAAUCUGUCACUUGGGGAUGGGCCUGCGGCGCAUUAGCUAGUUGGUGAGGUAACGGCUCACCAAGGCGACGAUGCGUAGCCGACCUGAGAGGGUGAUCGGCCACACUGGGACUGAGACACGGCCCAGACUCCUACGGGAGGCAGCAGUAGGGAAUCUUCCGCAAUGGGCGAAAGCCUGACGGAGCAAUGCCGCGUGAGUGAUGAAGGUUUUCGGAUCGUAAAGCUCUGUUGCCAGGGAAGAAC